CUUGGCUGCCUAUCGUAAAUGUCAGACCCGCUACAAGCUCUUUCCUGAAUCGACUCUCCAAGAGCGACAUUGCAGAUCGGAACCAUUCCUUCUGGUCUACAUAUCUGAAUCCUUCCUCAUCCAAUUGCUUCUUAGACACGCUCAUCGCGUCUUGCGUAUCCCACUUCCACCCACAUUCUCUCAUCCUGGCCAAAGCCAACGCUGAGGCCGAACGAACGGAUUCGAGCUUCUCUACACCUUGUUUUACUAAUCCACCGAUGGCUUCGUCGCAAAUUCCAGAUUCAAGCAGAGAAGACAAGGGAGA
rnacentral:sRNA from 1 species